rnacentral:rRNA from 1 species
CCCUUAGAUGUUCGGGGCCGCACGCGCGCUACACUGAAGGAAUCAGCACGUCUUUCCCCUUGUCCGAAAGGACUGGGUAACCCGCUGAACCUCCUUCGUGCUAGGGAUUGGGGCUUGUAAUUCUUCCCCAUGAACGAGGAAUUCCCAGUAAGCGCGAGUCAUAAGCUCGCGUUGAUUACGUCCCUGCCCUUUGUACACACCGCCCGUCGCUACUACCGAUUGGAUGGUUUAGUGAGAUCCUCGGAUUGGUCCCGGCGCGGCCUCUGGUCGUGCCGGAGUGCCGAAAAGAAUGUCGAACUUGAUCAUCUAGAGGAAGUAAAAGUCGUAACA